GAUGAACGCUGGCGGCGUGCCUAACACAUGCAAGUCGAACGGUGAAGGCGGAGCUUGCUCUGCUGGAUCAGUGGCGAACGGGUGAGUAACACGUGAGCAAUCUGCCCCUGACUCUGGGAUAAGCUCUGGAAGCGGCGUCUAAUACUGGAUACGAGCUGCGAAGGCAUCUUCAGCAGCUGGUAAGAAUUUCGGUCAGGGAUGAGCUCGCGGCCUAUCAGCUUGUUGGUGAGGUAAUGGCUCACCAAGGCGUCGACGGGUAGCCGGCCUGGGAGGGUGACCGGCCCCACUGGACCUGAGACACGGCCCAGACUCCUACGGGAGGCAGCGGUGGGGAAUAUUGCACAAUGGGCGAAAGCCUGAUGCAGCAACGCCGCGUGAGGGAAGACGGCCUUCGGGUUGUAAACCUCUUUUAGCAGGGAAGAAGCGAAAGUGACGGUACCUGCAGAAAAAGCGCCGGCUAACUACGUG
rnacentral:rRNA from 1 species